rnacentral:rRNA from 1 species
GGCUAACUUCGUGCCAGCAGCCGCGGUAAUACGAAGGGUGCAAGCGUUACUCGGAAUUACUGGGCGUAAAGCGUGCGUAGGUGGUUUUUUAAGUCCGUUGUGAAGGCCCUGGGCUCAACCUGGGAAUGGCAGUGGAUACUGGAAAGCUAGAGUGCGGUAGAGGGUAGUGGAAUUCCCGGUGUAGCAGUGAAAUGCGUAGAGAUCGGGAGGAACACCAGUGGCGAAGGCGGCUACCUGGACCAGCACUGACACUGAGGCACGAAAGCGUGGGGAGCAAACAGGAUUAGAUACCCUGGUAGUCCACGCCCUAAACGAUGCGAACUGGAGGUUGGGUGCAACUUGGCACUCAGUCUCGAAGCUAACGCGUUAAGUUCGCCGCCUGGGGAGUACGGUCGCAAGACUGAAACUCAAAGGAAUUGACGGGGGCCCGCACAAGCGGUGGAGUAUGUGGUUUAAUUCGAUGCAACGCGAAGAACCUUACCUGGUCUUGACAUGUCCGGAAUCCUGCAGAGAUGCGGGAGUGCCUUCGGGAAUCGGAACACAGGUGCUGCAUGGCUUC